UCUCUUCAUUAGUGACCUGGAGAAUGGGGCCAAAUGCACCCUCAGCAUGUUUGCAGAUGAUAAAAACUGGGAGCAGUGACACAUGAGCCACAAUGUGUCCUUGUGGCAAAGGUGGCCACCAACCUCCCGGUCUGCGUCAUGCAUCAUGCAUCAUGCGUUGCCAGCAGGUCAGGAGAGGUGAUCCUGCCCCUCUGCUCAGCUCUGGUGAGACACAUCUAGAGUGCUGUGCCCAGUGCUGGGCUCCCCAGCACAUGAGAGACAUGGACCCGCUGCACUGAGUCCUGCAAAAGGCCACAAAGGUGAUUCAGGGCCAUAUAAGCAGAGGCUGAGAGUUGGGCUUAUUCAGCCUGGAGAAGAGAAGGCUGAAGGGGACCUUAUCAGUGUUUAUAAAUAUCUGACUGGAGGGGAGAGGGGAGUAAGGAAGAUGGGCCAGACCCUUCUCGGUGGUGGUGCCCAGUGACACCACCAGAGGCAAUGGCCAUAAAUAGAAAUAUAGGAAAUUCUGUGUGAACGAAAGAAAUAACUUUUUUACAGUUCAGUGGUCAAACACUGGAGCAAGUUGCCCAGAGAGGUUGUAGAAUCUCUGUCCUUGGAGAUAUUAGAAACCUGACUGGAUGCAGCCCUGAGCAAACUCCUUUAUUUGCCCCUGCUUUGACUGGGGAUCGGACCAGAUGGUCCCAAAAAUGCUCAACUGUUCUGUGAUUCUGUGGAGUGGGCACACCUGUGCAUUUAUACAUCUGUGAACACACAGGCACCAGCAUCUUGCUCCCAUUGCUUCUUCUCUCCUCUGAUGGUGUUUAAGCCCUUUUGAACAGCAGCCCAUGGAAGGGGAUGGGUGGACAGAUUGUCUAUUAAAACAGGAUCAAGGCCAUAAGAAUAACAGCAUGAGAGCAAUGCGAGAACAACUGACAACAGAGGAAAACAGCUGUCCCAGAAGAGCUGGAAAACACUCUUAUGGCAGCUUAGGAGAAAAGAACAUUGUACCUUGACAAGCACUGUGGUUUCCCAUCUCUGUCAAUGGGUUCAGCAAAUGACUCAGAGUGACACAUAAAUGAACAGUCAGCGCCGCUCCCUGCAGUGUCUGGCCAUUCAGAGAACUCCCUCACCACCCAUACAUCUUUGUGGUUUGAGAAGUCUGACAAGAUUGCCAUCAAAAGUGGAAAAUUCGGGAAAGUCCAACUCUGUUUUGACAUCAGCCACUGGUUUAAAAUGCCAAAGCACAGAGAAAGCAAAACCACGAAGAUACAGGAACUGCAACGCAACUGUUGUCAAGUGUUAAUACAUGCAUAUUGAACCACCACAUCCUGAAUGUGAUAAGCACCUGCCAGGAUCUGCUCCAGGACUCACCAGAGCUGUCCCUAAUGAGACCUGAUUUGCUCUUGAGUGUGUCUGUUCCCUGUGGAUGCUGGAGAGUCCCCCCACAGAUGGUGCAGAGGAUGCUUUUGUGUCUGGAGCCACGUGUGCUACAUCUCAUCUUCACAUGGAGUACCUACCUGCCAGAGUAGAGUUGGCAAAGGUUAGCUGGACUUCCUUCUGUAGCAGCUCUCUGCAGACAACACGGUGCACAGUUGGCCUUCCUUGCUCUUUUCCAUUGCUCUUCCCAUGCUGCCCUCCCAGAUCUCUCUUGAGUGAGAAUGCUCUGCAAGUCCUUCUACUCCUGCCCAGUGCCUCCUUUUCCCUAUCAGCCUCUCCUUAACAAGGUCCUACUUUGAGCAGACAAAUCUCCAUUUUCUUCUACUUCUCUCUGUUUUGUUCACCCUUUCUGUUUUACAGGGAUUAUAUUUUUUCAGCAUUCCUACAUAUAUCACUGUCAUGCAAGUUGUUUUACUAACCUUUGAGUUGUAGCAUAUGAACACACAUACAGUUAAGACCUGUGGACCAUAGAAUUAGCAUUCCUCUGCCCAACGGAGAUCCUUCUUUUCCCCUGGGAUUUGCUUUCUGACUGCUUCUGGAGCUAUGACCCUGGCCUAUACAAACUAAGGUUGCUCCCACGUACGUUUACAGAGGGAAGAAAAUUUAAUAGAAUCAUAGAAUGGUUUGGGUUGGAAGGGACCUUAAAGAUCGUCCAGUUCUAAGCCCUCCUGCCAUGGGCAGGGACACCUUCCACUAGACCAGGUUGCUCAGGAUCCAAUCCAACAUGGCCUUGAACACUUCUAGGGGUGGGACAUCCACAACUCUGGGCAAUCUGUUCCAAUUCCUAACCACCCUCACAGUAAAGAAGUUUUUCCUGACAUCCAAUCUAAAUCUCCCCUCCUGCAGUUUGAAGUAAUUUUCCCUUGUCCUAUCACUACCUGCUCUUGUAAAAAGUCCCUCUUCAGCUUUCUUACAGGCUCCCUUUAGGUACUGAAAGGUGAUCUAAGGUCUCCCCAGAGCCUUCUCUUCUCCAGGAUGAACAGCCCCAACUCUCCCAGCCUUUCUUCAUAGGAGAGGUGCUCCAGCCUCCGAUCAUCUUUGUGACCCUCCUCUGAACUUGCUCCAUGUCUUUCUUGUGUUGGGAGACCCAGAGCUGGACGCAGUACUACAGGUGGGAUCUCAUGAGGCCAUCACCUCAUGAGGUCCAUCACCUAUUAAAUUUGAGAAAAAUGUGCCCCAGGGGCUGUUGUGCUGGGUUGCGUAUUGGAAGACCUAUUUCCACAUCCUGUUCAGAUUUUCCUCAUGACCUUUAGUGAGCUAUUUAGGACCGGAUCCUCCAGGCUCUUCAAACCCUGGAAGCCUGGGGCAUAGGAUGUGUCUAUCUUGCAGAAAGACCAGCUGGAUGUGCAGCCUGGGAUUCAGCAGGGAUUGGUUUACCUUGCUGCAAAUCAGUAAGGGAAAUGCUGAGCUAUGGUUUAUGAUUACUUUAAACCAGAGAUUUCUGUUGUAUCUCUACAAUACUGCUGCCACUUUUUAACUGUAGUGAAGACAUGCAUAUGGUGUUGCUGCAGAUCUGCCAAGGGACAUGUGCACUGAAAACUGGGAGAUAAUGAGGGCAUUCAAAGAAAUUACCACCAAGCAAGCAGGGAAAAAGAUUCUUCAUGUUUGUAAAUAAGAUAUUACUAAACCACAAAGCAAGUCAGCAUUUGUUUGGCAUGAAGAGUACCAGAAAGUAGGCUCAAACACUGGAACAUGAACACUGUGAAGUCAUUGGAGUGGUCUUGGCCAUGAUUAUGGCCCAGAGUAAGCAGCACUCUCCUAAGCAAAGGUUCAGGAGUUAACCUGGACCAGGUAGUACUAACAGUAGGAAGUUUGAAAACUUGUUUUGGAAGUGAAGCUAAAAGUAGAGAAAUGACCAGACAAUGCCAGCUGGUCCCAGGACCCAAGGGUGGGCACUGGCACCAGUUCAUUAGCACAGGUGUAUCCAGGGGAGACACCAACAGGCCCGAGAGACAUCAGCGAUCUGGGACUUGCCACUGCUAUUCAUCAGCAACUUGGCCCCGUUCUGGGCCACAAUUUUUUUAUGCCCUAGAGCAUCUGGCACCUCCACAGAGCCGACAGGUCUCUACUCCAAUGAGUCUCUGUUAAGUGUAAAGGAGAUGUAGCUGAGCCAAGGAUGGAGGAUGAGACACAGAAGGAUAUCACAAACCUCUGAAUUCUCAGUGUAAGUGAAGGCAUAUUUCAGGUGGAAAAAAAGUGAUGGUGCACAUGCUGUGGACAAAGGCAUAUAAACACAGCCCAGUGAACACAACAAGGAAGAAUAUUAAAGAAUAAAGGCAUAUAAACACAGCCCAGUGAACACAACAAGGAAGAAUAUUAAAGAAUCUCAGUGAAGUCUUUCUGUCAAGUCCAACGUAGUUUCAAAGUGACUGUGCCCUGCACAAAUAGACUGAAAGAGUAUAAGGAUAAGAGGGUUUUUAAUUCACCUCAUUACAUGAGCUGUGAGAAGACCCACCAGGUCAAGCUUUGCAUAUGAGUGGAAGAAAACCUCUGUGGAAACUGGCAAUGUUUAGACAUGCACUUGGUGUCUACAGAGAAAAUUCUGGUCUCACCCUCAAGUCAUACCUCAUAGUGCCCUAAAGAAUUGUGAUUCCAGAUUUUCUCCCCAUCGUUUACCUCAUUCCUUGUGCCUCCAUUUUAUCACUAUGUUACCUCCCUCACCCAGAAGGUACCUAAAAACAACAACACACACUUGAAUUCUCAUUGCCAAAGCCUAAUAUUUUGACUUGGAUUAAAAUGCCCUUAUAAAUGUCCUCAUAAAUAGAGCUAAUUUUUGCCUUAUUUUCUAGUGGAAAUGUCAUUGAGGUGUGUCUCUUAGGCACACCUCUGGGUACAAGGGAUCUAUGUAAAAAUCUGUGUAAUAGAGGAGUUCUGAAUGUACAGCACUGCUUGCGCAUGGCCAGGAAUCUUCAGAAUGAGACCUCUGGUCGCACGUUGAUGAUGGCCCAGGGAAAACUGAAUGGACUUUGAAACCUUUGCUGAGGCUCACAGUAAAGAGUCAAUAGAAAGGAAUAUGCUGUGCUUUCACCAGCUUUGGGCUGUAUUAGGUGCAGGUGGAUGGCUUUGCUUGGUUAAGUCAACAUGAUCGUCCUUGUAACACUGGCCUGACUCAAUGGAACGGAAGAGUUAACCGGCGCACAACAGAGCCGAGCUUUUGUGACCAGCAGCAAAGUGACACUUAGACCUGAAGGGGGACAGGGAAAUAGAAAAAAAUACACAUUUGAGAAUAAAAAAGUUAUGAUAAACUCACAUGGCUGCCUACUCAGCUUGAGUCCUGUUUGGGGUUUGAGACUGUUGAGUCCUGAUUUCUCUGUGUGGAGACAUAAUCCAGAAGAGAAAUUCUGAAGCGCAUUCCCACGAGGAAUGCAUGAACUUUUCAACUUAGCACUGGUUUUCAAACACUAACUGCAAGUUUGCAAUUUUUCUUCAGAACCAAAGGAAAACAGGAAAACAUAAUUUGCCCAAAAAAGGUAUUCGGGUUGUCACCAUAAAGCAGGACUAGGAUGGAGCUCCUGAGCCCCACACUCACCAUGUGAAUGAUAUUCACAUUAAAUUAGUAGUGAAGGGAAAUGAAGAAAUAGGGAAAAAAAGAAUCUCUCUGCAUCAGUGUGUAACUGUGCUAUAUUUUAUAGAUGAAUGAUAAUGCUUAAUGGCUUAGAAUACAGUGAGGAGCUUAGGGUCUCCAUUGAAUGUCACCAUUUAGGACUGCAGCGCUAUAUUUUUGAUAUAAUUUGAAUCUUUGAAGGUCUAAUUCACUCCUGCUUCAGCCUCUGAGGUGAGGAGGAGCAUGCCAUAGACAGAGUAAGAGCAAGUCAGUGAAUUUAAAAGAAAAAUAAUAUUAGUAGAUAGGAACAUGGUGUCAGUCUAAGACCCCCAAGGGCAGCUCCUCUCUCUGCAGCACUCGGGCUAAGGAUUCAUAUAUGUAACUGCUUUGAGAUUUCAAUGGGAGAGGAAAGCAGGUGUCAAACAUUGUUAUUUACACUAAGUAAUUGCCUACAGAAAAUCCCAGAAUCAUAUCUUUGUUCUACAUUCACAAAUCUAUUCCCUUAAUGAUCUCUUUUCAAGCCUUUUGAGCUAUAAAUAGGUUUGUAAGUUUAAGAGCUGGAAAUAAGCCACCAGCACUGUGACUGAGUAUUGUGAGAAGGGUUUAUUAAUUUUGGGUUGGGGGAAGGGUCUAAGCUAAAUCUGAGUGGGGCAGACAUGCUGAAACCAGCCUGUGCCUGUUGGGAAGGAGACCAUGGGCUGGGAUCCACUGAGGGGAGGAAGGCAAGGAAUGAAGGGAAUAAGGAUGAAAAGCAACACAAAAUCAGUGGGACUAAUACGACACGUGCCAAAUGUUAAGGUCUUUGAAAAUAAGCAGAGAUAACUAUGAAAGACCCAUGCCAUAGCUAAAAAUAGUUUUGGUUAUGUACACAGAGGAAAAACACGUAGACUUAUGCUGUAGGAAUUUCUUUACGCAAGUGGCAAGGGACUGUGUUUCUCACAGCAGAAAAUGUUACACCACCAGUUGCCAUCUUUGCAAUAAUAGGCCAGUAUGGCCAAGCAGCAGUGGCAUGUGAGAAGCAAGUAGCUGUGAUGGAAAUCAGGGAAGUGGGACUGCUGAAUUAAGGAUUUCUUCCUGCCACAAGAAGCUGGAAAUGCUCUACUCAUCUUGUACAGACUCCAGGUACUGAACUGAGGACAUCACCUGCUUGGAGCAAGCCAGCAUCUGGAACGACCACAGCAGAGUACUAAAGCAUCCAGCAUCUCCCCAGUGGAGGCCAGUCUUUAGGCUUCAGACCAUUUUAUCCCUAUUUGACAAAAACUUUGCAGUUUCUCGAGGCCACAGUUUAGGUGCUACUCAUUGGGAAUUUAGUAGAGACUAACUUCUAUUUGCAGAAAUUUGUUUAUUUUCAUGUUGUAACUCACAGAACAAAGAACUGAGCAGCUGUAUCACCAAAGACAUUUUAUAAUAAACUGUGCUAGCAAAAAUAAUUCUAAUCAUCUGUAGCAUCUCGGAUGCAUACAUUUUUCUGGCCAAAAACUGCCUGAAAGGGACCUUAAAACCAUCCUCCUCCACCACUGCUAACAACAGCAGAAGACUGAGGUCAACAGAAUGUCCCAGACUCCGCGCCCAGUCUGACUUGCUGAAGACACCAAAGUAGGUGUAAUGAUGUCUGCAGGAACCACUCUGUGCUGGCCUUUGGUUCAUCAUCCACCUUCUCACCAGUAUUUCUACUGAAAUUUGCCCUUAACUAUCAGCUGCCUACAGGAUUCCCUGUGUAUUGCACCAGGAUUCUGUCUCUCAGUGGGACAACCAAGUGUAUUGCUUGUGCUAAGUGAUAUACAAGGGGCCAGGGAGACAGGUAGAGGUUACAGGAAUUAGAUGGCAGUGGGAUAAAGCAAGCGAAAGAGGUUUUUUUCCAGCUUAUUUUUUCUCUUCCUUUUCUGGCAAUGUUAAUAAGACACUAACCACGCUCUUAAGUUAUUUUACUCUCAGUAGGUCACAGUUGCUUUAGCCUUUAAAUAUAGAGAACAGAGAAGAUACCUGCCCUUACAGACUCAUGCAGUGAGUCCACAGUAGAGGUGGGAAUGUUUCUGAGCAUCCUGCUCCUGCAUAGCCAGUCCCACUGUGAUCUUGUCCCAAAGGACACAGCCAAACCAGCUUGAGGAAGGGUUUGGGGGUAAAAAAGUGCAGAGGGAAACCUCCCAUCAUCACAUCAUCUUCAUAUAAAAUAUAAAAUGUAUAAAAGUCUACAGUCCCAUUUUCUCCCAGGGGCUUCCCAAGGUGCUGCUCUCCCCUACAGUAGCUGAGGUCUGCAGGGAGGCAUCGGCCAGAGCCAGGCAAGCUGUGAGAUAGGAAAGAGGUGAGGGAUCUUUUAUUGCUGGCUAGGAAAGGAGUGGAAGGGAAGAUCUUCUCUGGGUGCCUGGCUGCUGAGAGGAUGGUGCUACGUGGGCAUACGUGAGAGACUGGCAGUGGAGGAAGAUGUUGCGCGAGGACCGGCUGCCAUUUCAUCACGCUGAGCAACGUGUUUGCACACAUACACUGAUCACUCCCUGCUCAGCCGCCGUGGGAGGCAGGUUUGGCUGAAAACCGCUUCUCACUGCUGAGUCACCCCUUGCUGCUGAUACGCUCCCUGAUUCCAGGCCCCUUCAGGGAUGGCGAAAUAAAGGUUCCAGAAGUGCUUUUGAAAGGUAGGGUGCAAGUGAAGAAAUCAGUUUGAAUCCUCCUAGGAAUGGAAAAGCAAAAGUGGGGAUGAGGAAAGGAUAAAGUCAUUGGACUUCACAAAAUUGGGUUUGAUUCUUUGGAUCUAACUUUUCAAUAUACAAGUGCCUGGUCUCAUUUGCUGAGAAGUUGAAGACUAUCAUCUUGGGAUUCUCAGAUGUUCAAGUACCUUGGAAAAUCAGGCCAAUUGCAUCAAGAUUGCUAUGCAUUUAAGGAAGCAUGGGCUCUGCACAUGACAUUAGAAGUCUGUUGUCAAUAGCCCCAGAGUUACACUUACCAGAAAGAAAAUGCUUGUGCUUUUUCAAUCAUCAGGAUGAUAUUGUACAUUUAGCGCUUCACUGCUGUUGGAAAGACCACAGAGAGUGAAACACAGUGUAGAUACCACUGGGUAACACAUUCCUUAAUGACAUUUUUAAAGCAUUCCACAUUGGCAGUACAAUACAGAAAGAGGGAGAACGGAGCACAGCCUUCACUGAAAAUAGAAGAGGGAAAAAUAAUAAUCACAAGAGCUUUUCACUGAUGUGGGCUGUGGCAUCAUGCUAUCUGCUGCUCAGAGCAGACAGUGUUUCCAAAAUAUACACAGCGCAAAUCCAGCAGAGUAAAACUUGAAUAACUAGUCAUGAUCCCCUGGAUUUAAAUAGGUUGCCAACUCCCUAUGGAAAGGGGGACCAAAAAUAACUAAAUCUGGAUCAUUGGAAUAUUCCAAUUGUCCCUCAAACAAACAACCUCUGCAGUAACAUUUGAUUUCCAGCAGUUUCCCUCUGAAACUACAAAGAUCUGGCCAUGGUGUCCAGUGAUGCAUGAAACUGUUGAUCCAUUCUCAGGAUGAUUAAGGGGUAUGUAUUUGUUGUUACCCCUUCAGAGAAGGAUGUGAUUUAUCACAAAACAAUGGUGAAUUUCACAGGAGGGUACCAGGCUCUGUAUGGCUGUGACAGAAAGUCAGCAUUGAGCAGGCAAUGUUUUGUAUGGUCCUGGAAACAUUUUAGGACAGUAUUACAGCAAGGUAAAAUUCAGGUGCCAUUGAAAUUGAUUUCAAAACUCCUGUUGACUUCACUAGAGCCAAGAUUUCCUCCAAAGAAUCCCUACGUAUAUUUUAGAUCCCUAGAGCUUCACUUUAAUAGCAAUGUUUUCCCCAUGGAACUAGAAACAGAGAGGGAAAAAAAGGGAAUUGAAGGCAUAUGGGAGAAAGAUGAAUCAAAGCUUUCCUCCCCCAUCUCCUUCGUGGAAAGAAGCUUCUGUGCCCUCAGGCGACCACAUCUCCCUGUUCUUCUCUACCUUUCUCUACCUUCCUACAGGUCUCAUCCCUUCAGAGCAAAGGAGUCCACAGGCAGCCUGAGCCUGGUAAUGCUCCACUGCCAGCACUUCUUACUCAGCAGGAUCAGCCAAAAGCCUCAACAGCAUCCUGCUUCAUCAUUCACCUUUAUGCUUAGUCUUAAAAGAUUGACAAGACUGAAAUGUGAUGGCUUCACCGCACCCCUAAGGGAAGAAAAGACAAUGACUUCUUUCAAAUGAGUCCUGCUGAAGGUCCAGCUUGCAAAUGGACUGACGUGGGGCUUUAGCUGAGGCAUCUGAUUAAGACUGGUCACCAAGUCCUUCAGUGAUGGAGUCAGUGCCAAGUCAGCACCAAGUCAGUGCUGAAGAGGGAGAGGGAAGAAACAUGACAAGCUGUAUCUAUUACAGUCGGUUUCAAAUGAAUGUCUUACCUUUAAUCACAAAUAGUCAGUGUCUGAUCUAGUCUCCAAACAGGAAACUUCCUUCUCUUUUCCAAAAUGUUAUGAUGACAAACUGUCAUUAGAGAGCCUUGCUGCCUAUAGAAUUGGCAAGGUCUCUUUGAUUUGAUUCCAAUGACAAUCUACAGGAAGGCUGUCCACAGCCAAACUAUAUGUGAAAUAAAGGGAAUCUUAUUUUGGUGAAAGGUAUUUGUGUCUGUAUUUCAGUUACAUAAGUGGUAGUGUUUUGGGAGGAUGUGGUGCCUGGAGUUUCAGAAGAUGUUUUGCCAAGAAAUCACUCCUUGGAGAAAGCUGCUUGCAGCAGUACAGCUUGCCCUCUCCUCCUUUUUUUUCUUUUUUUCUAAUUUAUUGUUUUCCAGGAAAUCAUCAUUCAUAGAGCUUGGGUAAGGAGGGAGUGCUGCAUUCAUAAGACCUGCAAAGAGAGCCACUGUGCCCAGCAGGCUCCUGCAAACACACUGCAGCAGGUGAGGAGCAGCACUGUCUGGUCACUGUGACCAGAUCCCACCAGCCAGCUGAUGGUGAUUUCCUUCUUCUGGGAGAGGCUGGAGCAAUUGGUUUGUAAUCCGACUGAAUUUUGGCCAGAACACAACCCAGGAGACUCACUGCUGAACCAUUUCACUUUGACAGCUGGCAACAAUUUGUGGACCGCAGGCACGCCUGCUGAGCUCUGUGCUCAGAGGGGGACGCAGAGCUUGCCAAUGUGAGAGACACCUGCUCCUGCCUCCCAGCUCCCACCUGGAGAUAAAAGCCUCAGUGUCUCUCGAGACAGAAAUUUUCCUAUCACUUGUGAAGUGCAGGAGCCCCCAGCAUACAAAUCAUCCCUCCUUCUUCCUUCUUUCCUUCUCUAUUCCAACAAUUGCAAAAAAUAAUUUGAUAAAAGCCUGCUUUAGUUUCAAGGACUAAGUUAAGCUCAGAGAGUAUUGGUCCAGAUCAAGGCAUGGACAUCAAAUCAAUUAAAUCAAUGCAGUGUCAUAUCUGCAACAUCCUCAUUAUCAGAUUUCACAUACAAUACGCUGUUAUCACAAUAGACAGUUCCUCCUCCCAGCACUGUAAGUGGGAGACUUGUCAUUAGCAUCAAUAGAAAGUGCACUGAAUCCUGAAGAAAUAAAACAGCAACCUGGCAGAACAAGGCUCAGACAUUACAUAGACUGCAAUGGUAUAAAUAACCACCCAUAUCUUGAAAAAUUAAUGCUCCAAAAGCUCUGUUUUAUUGGGAUAUCAGAGAGACAAGCUGACAAAGUGUUUCAAAGAGCUUAUGCUGCAGCAGCCAUGCAUGUAAUGUGCCCUCUGUGUAUGGUCCACGUGGGAGCAGGAGGACCAGCUUUCACACAACAGUGUGGCACAGACACAAACCACCACUCCUCCUUGGCACACUCAGCUUCUUGCCUGUGAUGGAAGGAAAGCAAGCCCAACGAAUGACCACAGUGGGAGAGAAAUAACAAAAUCUGGAAGCAUAUUUCCUAUUUGUUCUUCGGUGCCACUAUCUCAGAUUGCAUUGGCAAUCAAUGCAAGGGAAUAUUAGUGUGCUCUGCAUAAAAUUGCUUCAUCUAGCUGCAUUAAAGUAAAUUCAUAAAUAGAAAUGGUGGAAUGGAAUAUAUUUAUUGCACUAGCCUUGAUAAAUACUUUAAAUGCAUUGCUUGCCAUCUUUGCAUUUACUUUAUUACUUGGAAAGAUCAGUACCUUUAAGAGUAAAGUUGCUGAAUUCAACUGAAAGUCAAAUUCUUGGCAGGUGACAGACAAAACAGCUCACUGGCUUCUCAUAUUACUUUAUUUUUAAUCCACUGGUGCCACUGCAGUGCUCUGCAGUGUAUUUUGUAUACAGAAAUAAACCACCUACACUUUUUAGUGAAAUACUCUAAUUCAACAAUUUGAAUACAAAAGCUUUUAAUAACAGCUUGUCCCUCCAAAAAAAAAUCUCAAAAAACAAAACCACCAAACACAGUCUAUACUGUCAAUUCAUAUGUGUCUGUUUAAAAAAGCCUCCACACCUACAUCUCCAAUCACAUCACCCCGUCUGCUUUUGCAGCCUGGGGAAGAUGGGCUUUGCAAUCUGCACUGAGAAGUGGGGAAGGCAAGUCAGUUCCCAGCUUCAGGAAACCUUUGUGGGAAAGAUGGAAACAAAAGAUCCAACUAGUUUGUCUGGGGCAAGUUCCGGGUCAGUUUGGUUCUGCUCAGCUGAAAUACAGUUGUGUGGCAUGGAGCAACGUGAAGCCUUUCCCCAGAGUACUGGAGCAGCAAACUUUUAGGGCUUUGUGUCCUCUGUCACCUGAAAAUCUUCACAAAAGUUAGCUGGGUGCUGGCUUUUAAGGCUGGUGGUCUUCUGAUGAAGUCCCCUGUCGCUAACUACAGAACUGCUCUGAAGUCUUCAGGGAGAAGGAAUAUAUCUUGUACACACUUGUUUCUCAGAGAGUUCUCUAAAUCCUGUCCUGUUGCCACCCAGCUUCCCAUCUCUCCCUCCUCCCACUCAGCUUUGUCACUCUGACUUCACUAUGCAGUUGAGGAUUUGGCCCUGGCAAGACUG